rnacentral:rRNA from 1 species
UACGAACCGUGCGAACGUUGUUCGGAAUCACUGGGCUUAAAGGGCGCGUAGGCGGGUGACCAAGUCCGGGGUGAAAUCCUCCAGCUUAACUGGAGAAGUGCCUCGGAUACUGGUUGUCUUGAGGAGGGUAGGGGCAUCUGGAACUAGCGGUGGAGCGGUGAAAUGCGUUGAUAUCGCUAGGAACUCCGGUGGCGAAGGCGAGGUGCUGGACCCUUUCUGACGCUGAGGCGCGAAAGCCAGGGGAGCGAACGGG